rnacentral:tRNA from 1 species
UCCCUGGUGGUCUAGUGGUUAAUGACUCAGUGUUGUCACUGCUGUGGCACAAGUUAGAUCCCUGGCCUGGGAA